AUGCCGUGGAGAUUGUGUACGCCGCACGUGUCAUGAAUCCUCAGAUAUUUUCGGAUCAGCGGCUGGAAGAAAAAGUGGAAGAAUCGUGACCAAAAGCCUGGAAAUUGCAAGUUCGAAGGAGAUUGCUGUAACUGAAACCACGCGAUUGGACCGGGGAAAUCGAUCCGGUGACAUCGAAGAAGGACAAGACGAAUCGCUUCAUCGAAAACGAGAAGGGAGUUCAACGGGACAACGGUCGUACUUCUCGCCCUCCAAACGGCACUUACAUCCCGUUAGGGUGCCCCCAAAAACAGGAACGUCCAUGGCAAGUCUCGAAAUUCUCGCGAGUCGCUCCGGCUGGUUUCGAGAGUGAUAUGUCUGAUGACUCGGACGUGAUGGAGCUGUGGUAAAUCGAAAGAACCGGCCGUACAUUUCUUCCUUUUUUCUAUCGAGAUACGCUUUCAUUUAUUUCAUGUAAUUUUGUAGAAGUUAGAAAUGCGGCGGUUUGAACAAUCGCAACGUCUUGCUCUUUCUCUAUGAAGCGGAAAACAGGCAAUUCACCGUAGUUGAUCGAUGUAGAUCCAUAAAUUCGCGACAUCGUUGGCCCGGUAAUCGAACACGGAGAUAUUUAUUAUAUUUAUGAGCUACUUACGGGAACACAUUUCCCAGCGUACUUACGGUGUCUCUGUAGAAAAGCCUUGGAUGGAAGUGAGCCACUCCGUAGUAAUUUAUGCCGUCAUAUCGGCUACUUUUCGUUCGCUCUAAAUUCACGCUAAAACCGGUCGUUCGUUUGCCACUCGCGAAUCGAUGCCUCGGCCAAUCUCACCAAUUACAAUUACGAACAAUUUGAAUUGCUAAAUUUUGUCGAACUAAAAAUUAAAGCAACGAAGAAGAAGUCAGAAAGAUGAGAGAAGCGAACGAUAAAAUAGAUUUAUAAGGGGGAAUAAGUUGAAAAAUUCGGGUAAAUCAAGGUGUACUUUUUCUGGAGAAACUUUCGCCAAGAUCGAUUCUAUCGCACGAAAUCGUUGGUUUGUUCUCUCAAAGACGGACAAUCACGCACUCGGAGCAAACAGUCGUUCUAUGCCGACGGAUGACACGCGAUCAAUUUGUGUCGGAACACGAUUCGAUGGGUGAUCGUGUAUAGAUAAACGAUUAUGUACUGCGACGAACAGCUAAAAUCACGACAGGACGCUCGAGUCGCAGAAGGUCGAUUAUCGCGUGUUUCAGAGUUUGCCGAGUUAAAGUUAAAAUGUCUUUUUAACCGAUAAAAAGUCGCGUUUAAUACAUAGAUAUUUAAAUAAAAAUAUAAACAUUAUGUAGCAAUCAAAAAACCAAGGAAACAAAAAUAGUAAUAGAUAGGAACCGAGAACGAAGUAUUUUCAAGAUAUUUUAACGAGGUUAAACAAAAAUGCUAUAGAUUUAAUGUGUUACCAUUAUUUCGAAAUUAGUCGGGUGAUUCAAGGAAUAAAUAUGCCACUUAAAUGCGCAUCAGACAUGGAAUUGGCGAAUACGCGUUUGUCGUAGGAUAAACGGACUAUAGAAUCACGUACGAUUUACUAAUUUCAAUAUUUAUUCGCUUUCUAAUGCACCCGAAAUGGCAGUGAAAAAGGAAGAGACCCAUCCCAUGGUCGUCUCGUAUUCCGGUUUUCCGCUUCGAUUCUUAUCAAACCACUGACAACCUUUGAUCUCGUUAAAUUGCUUCCGUUUAAUAUAUGCUCGAUCUUAAAAAAGGAAAUUACAAACCAGGAAAUGCAAUAACCAGGAAAGGCAAAGCUCGUAAGAAUCCAGACAUCUUUGUCAAUUUAGAGCAACAAUGUAUAAAUGUACGAGUUAAAGUAAAUUUAAAAAACUCGUAGAUUAAUAGAAUUUCGUGAACAAGUGACUUUGAAAAAUCGAUUCUAUCGUAUCGUAAUAUUUUAUGAUAUAUAUGUGUAUGUAUAAAGCUUUUUUAAUUAUAAAUAAAAAUGUAAAAAUGUGAAAUGAAAUUUUGUCGAGAUAACAAAGGCAAGCAAAGAUACGGUAGAAAAGGUAAAAAUAAUAUUUUGCUUCGACUAUAAGCAGCAAGAUAGUAAGUAAAGUCGAUAGGUAGACAGAUGAAAGAUAAUAACUGGAAAAGUUAUCGAAACAUGUUUUUGGAAAUGAUUGGCAACGUUCUUUUUUCUCGGCGAUUUAUUUAUUUAUCGCUUUAUCGUUAAUACAUAUUACGGUUUGACAGUGAAUUCAAGUGACAGUGAACAGUAGUACAACAUUCAGAACAUUAUCGUAGCGCACUCACGCUAGUGUGUUAGAUUGAAAAUUAAAAUCGCUCCGUGUGAGAAAGAUUCUACGUGCGUACGUACGUGUGUAAUUACUCUCCUUGAACAGGUGUACAUGAUAGUACACAUGACGGCGAAAGUAUCGAUGACAAUCUCGUGUGCCGUAUAUGUACACACGUACGACGUCUGAUCGUCUCCGCGUGUUAUCCUCUUCGUAAAUAGAAACAACGACAAUCACCGUAAUUACUUGCGCGUAACGAAAGAAAGAAGAAAAAAGAAAAAAGAAAAAAGAAAAAAGAAAAAAGAAAAAAGAAAAAAGAAAAAAGAAAAAAGAAAAAAGUAAAAAUACGGAAGUCACGAAAUUUCGCUGUGUUUUUCGUUAAACAGUUUUCUUUUUCCUUUCUUUUCUUCUUCUUUUUUUUUUAUCUUUAUACAAUAUGAAACUAAACAAAACUCGCACGAUUUCGCUAUAUCUCGUCGUUGAAUACUUUCUUUCUUUCUUUCUUUCUUUCUUUCUUUCUUUCUUUCUUUCUUUCUUUCUUUCUUUCUUUCUUUCUUUCUUUCUUUCUUUCGUGUUGAUAGUGCAAAAAUCAAAAUUCAAAAAUCAAAUUCGGCCACGAAUUGUAAAGUUUCGCUGUGUCUCGUCGAAUAAUAUUUUCUUUUCUUUCUUAGUAAUACGAAACGGAAACAAGAUUGGUACGAUGUUACGGCCAAAGAAAGGGGGACCGCCGCAUCGUCGUCGUUCGUUCGACGGACGUUUAAAGUGGCCCCUCCUCUCAUUUAAAUACAAUACAAUACAAGAAUCGAACGUGCUUAUACUAUAUUCUCAUAUCUUUCACAUAAUUUUUUAUUUCUCUUUGAUUGGAGCGAUUUUAGAGCGAUUGGCUUUGCAGCACCUCGGUAAUGACUGGAGUAUUAAUUUUGCUUUUAAAAGACGUGAUCGAUCAAAGGCGGAUGAUGAAUAUCUGGUUGUGUUAAUGAGCUUAUCUAACGACUAACACCGAACUUUCCUUAUCUUUGGUUUA